rnacentral:rRNA from 1 species
UACAGAGGGGGCAAGCGUUGUUCGGAAUUACUGGGCGUAAAGGGCGCGUAGGCGGCCUGUUAAGUCGAACGUGAAAUCCCUGGGCUCAACCCAGGAACUGCGUCCGAUACUGACAGGCUUGAAUCCGGGAGAGGGAUGCGGAAUUCCAGGUGUAGCGGUGAAAUGCGUAGAUAUCUGGAGGAACACCGGUGGCGAAGGCGGCAUCCUGGACCGGCAUUGACGCUGAGGCGCGAAAGCUAGGGUAGCAAACGGG